rnacentral:rRNA from 1 species
UAAUACGUAGGAGGCUAGCGUUGUCCGGAUUUACUGGGCGUAAAGGGGGCGCAGGUGGCUGAGUAGGUCCGUGGUGCAAGCUCCAGGCUUAACUUGGAGAGGUCUACGGAAACCGCUUGGCUUGAGGGCGGUAGAGGAGCACGGAAUUCCGGGUGUAGUGGUGAAAUGCGUAGAUAUCCGGAGGAACACCUGAGGCGAAAGCGGUGCUCUGGGCCGUUCCUGACACUCAGGCCCGAAAGCGUGGGGAGCAAACUGGAUUAGAUACCCAGGUAGUCCACGCCCUAAACGAUGGAUGCUAGACAUGGGGGGUAUCGACCCCUCCCGUGUCGUAGCUUACGCGUUAAGCAUCCCGCCUGGGAACUACGGCCGCAAGGCUA